rnacentral:rRNA from 1 species
AAACUUUCAACAACGGAUCUCUUGGUUCUGGCAUCGAUGAAGAACGCAGCGAAAUGCGAUACGUAAUGUGAAUUGCAGAAUUCAGUGAAUCAUCGAAUAGCGUCAUU